rnacentral:rRNA from 1 species
CUACAGGCUUAACACAUGCAAGUCGAGGGGCAGCAUGGUCUUAGCUUGCUAAGGCCGAUGGCGACCGGCGCACGGGUGAGUAACACGUAUCCAACCUGCCGUCUACUCUUGGACAGCCUUCUGAAAGGAAGAUUAAUACAAGAUGGCAUCAUGAGUCCGCAUGUUCACAUGAUUAAAGGUAUUCCGGUAGACGAUGGGGAUGCGUUCCAUUAGAUAGUAGGCGGGGUAACGGCCCACCUAGUCUUCGAUGGAUAGGGGUUCUGAGAGGAAGGUCCCCCACAUUGGAACUGAGACACGGUCCAAACUCCUACGGGAGGCAGCAGUGAGGAAUAUUGGUCAAUGGGCGAGAGCCUGAACCAGCCAAGUAGCGUGAAGGAUGACUGCCCUAUGGGUUGUAAACUUCUUUUAUAAAGGAAUAAAGUCGGGUAUGGAUACCCGUUUGCAUGUACUUUAUGAAUAAGGAUCGGCUAACUCCGUGCCAGCAGCCGCGGUAAUACGGAGGAUCCGAGCGUUAUCCGGAUUUAUUGGGUUUAAAGGGAGCGUAGAUGGAUGUUUAAGUCAGUUGUGAAAGUUUGCGGCUCAACCGUAAAAUUGCAGUUGAUACUGGAUAUCUUGAGUGCAGUUGAGGCAGGCGGAAUUCGUGGUGUAGCGGUGAAAUGCUUAGAUAUCACGAAGAACUCCGAUUGCGAAGGCAGCCUGCUAAGCUGCAACUGACAUUGAGGCUCGAAAGUGUGGGUAUCAAACAGGAUUAGAUACCCUGGUAGUCCACACGGUAAACGAUGAAUACUCGCUGUUUGCGAUAUACUGCAAGCGGCCAAGCGAAAGCGUUAAGUAUUCCACCUGGGGAGUACGCCGGCAACGGUGAAACUCAAAGGAAUUGACGGGGGCCCGCACAAGCGGAGGAACAUGUGGUUUAAUUCGAUGAUACGCGAGGAACCUUACCCGGGCUUAAAUUGCAGAUGAAUUACGGUGAAAGCCGUAAGCCGCAAGGCAUCUGUGAAGGUGCUGCAUGGUUGUCGUCAGCUCGUGCCGUGAGGUGUCGGCUUAAGUGCCAUAACGAGCGCAACCCUUGUUGUCAGUUACUAACAGGUUCCGCUGAGGACUCUGACAAGACUGCCAUCGUAAGAUGUGAGGAAGGUGGGGAUGACGUCAAAUCAGCACGGCCCUUACGUCCGGGGCUACACACGUGUUACAAUGGGGGGUACAGAGGGCCGCUACCACGCGAGUGGAUGCCAAUCCCCAAAACCUCUCUCAGUUCGGACCGGAGUCUGCAACCCGACUCCACGAAGCUGGAUUCGCUAGUAAUCGCGCAUCAGCCACGGCGCGGUGAAUACGUUCCCGGGCCUUGUACACACCGCCCGUCAAGCCAUGGGAGCCGGGGGUACCUGAAGUGCGUAACCGCGAGGAGCGCCCUAGGGUAAAACUGGUGACUGGGGCUAAGUAAU